GAUUUCUAUCCAAGGGGCUCCAGGACCUCGUUUUUCUUGAAGGAUUAGAUGUUUGGGAUUGCCCUAAGCUCCAGUUCUUGCCAAAGGAUGGUCUGCCUAUCAUGCUUGGUGUACUUCACAUCAGAAAUUGCCCUCUUUUAAAAAAUCAAUGCUUAGAUGAGAAAGGUGCAUUUUGGCCAAUUAUUUCUCACCUUCCUCUUGUGAGGAUAGAUUAUGUUGAUAUCUGAUGAACAAACUUAAGCAGAUUGGAUUCUCAGAUGGACGGCAAAAACAGAAGUGCCAAUACCUCCUACUGUUCAACCAGGUAAAACCCUUUGCUGCUUGAACAACUCCUCUGGCCCUCAACUUAGCACAUAUUUACUGAUAAUAUUUCAGCUGUAAAUUUUGUGUAAAAGAAGAUUUAAAAACAAUUUAUACUACCUCCCUAACUAUUGGUGCAUGUGAAAGGAGGCAUGCUGCAUGACAUUGUUGCCCUUUAGAAGAAAGAGAAAGAUGCAAGGUUUACUUAAUGAACAUGCUCAUGAGAAGAUUCUCACACUAAUUUUCUUAGCUUUUAAUUUUGAAAUUAGUUAGAUGUAUCUGUUAAUUAGCUCACCUUCUCCUCCCUUUCCCCCAUUCCAAAUUACAUUAUGCCUCUAGCUUUAUCACACCCUAACCUGCUUGUUAUGUUAUUGUCAUUGCUCAGUUUACCAUCAAGUGAAUAAUAAUUAGUGUUGUUAUCCCUUAUACGCUAUAGAAAAUAUCGAGAGCAUGAUCUCUCUGUUUGGUUGCAGAUUGCUGGUUUGAGCAUCUUUGCUCCUAAAGAAAUGGCUGACUGCUGUACUCAGAGGAUCAUAUGCUAAGCAGUGUAAUUCUUCUAAUGUAAUGAUACUCAGAAGAAAAACAUUAAUGUUACCUCAUAAUUCAGAUUCUUAGCAUGUCCUACAUUUCCAGGACUCUUAAUUGCAGCUACCUUCUGUUAAUAUGUAAUGGAGAAAGUUUCACAGUUCAGACAGCAAGUUGUAUUUUCUCUUGCAAUAGAAGUUGUACAAUCCUCUUUGUCAUUGCCACUCAGGUAUGCCCAUCCGCCAUUGGCUUCAUAAUUCUUUUUCUUUUUUAAAGAAAAAAGGGGGAAAGUUCAGGUGUCUGCAGUUAACCACUCGAAGCAAAAUUUAUUUGAAAAGAAAAUUUCUAUCUGAUACUACAAUGUGUAUAACUUGCCUUUCCGAUGCAGAACUCUUGUGCCUCUUGACUUAGCAUUGUGAUUUAUUAAUAUGUUUUACUGCUGUGCAAUUUGGAAGAAAGAAGAUAAGAAGUAAAUUAUAUCACCAAUUCUGUGACCAGUAGUGCAUUUAACUCAGAUGGGCACACUGUUACACCAUUAUAUCCCUUGAGAAGAAGGGAAAAGAUAACAAUAUGUGCUCAAGGAGCAUGCUAGGAAGAAGAUUAUUGCGGGUGUAUCAAUUUCUGUCUCUUCCCACAAGAUAUUGCAAUAUCGUCCAAAACCAGUUUGUUAUGUGAUCUUCAUUGUUCGGUGUAACUUCCCAACUGCCUCAUUGGCAACUUGACGCAUGAUCAUCUCCAACUUGGUUACUGUAUUGCAGUUCAACCAUCUUUGACUGCAACCUGUUCAGCAAACUUCCUCUCUCAAUUCUGCAAUAGAGGAAAUUCAGUUCUCAAUGUGCCCGCUAAUAAAGUAUACACAAGCUUGAAGGCAUACAUCGAGUUUCUUUCUUUUCUUUUUUUCAUUUAAGGGAAAAAUCUGAGAACAAUAUAGGGAUAUCUAGUAAGAUAAAAGUUAUGGAUUGAAUUUAACAUUGAACAGAAAAUAGCAGCAUAUUGAGAGUAAAAUCCAUGUUUAGUUGUGUAUGGUAAUAAACAGGCCAUUGAGUUUUUGACAGAUGAGCAUCUGAACCAGAAAUAUUAAACUUUUUUUUUUAUGGAAAUUUAUUCGACAUAAAGGCCAAAAUCUUGUGAUUUCUUCGGCUCAGGCCAAAAUCUGGUAAAUUUGAGGCUUUCGCAGACCAUUGAUCCCAACACAAGGAAACUAAGUUGCUGCUUGGAAUCAUCUUUUGCAGAACACUACUAUAGCUAAGUUGCAGUACAUAUAUACUCUUGAUUUUGCAUCAGAUAAAUCAAGUCAUCAGCAAGGAUUUUAUACAAAUUCCAAUAGAAGUGCAACAAAAACCAAAAGUAGAAAGAACCCUAUGUACAUUCAGACCUUAUUCGGCAUAUCUUUUUCAGUCUAUUUCAAGGCAAGGGAUGUUGGAUAUCAUGGGCCAGUAUUCGCCUCUGUCUUUCUUGCACUUGUCUUGUAAAACAAGACAGCCAGAGAUGCAUAAUCGUCCAAGUGAGGCUGGCAGGCCUGUCUUUGGUAGGUAUCGAAGCUUGCGGCAGUCUUUAAUGUGUAACUGUUCGAGAGCUGUGAGGCUUUCGAGUGCCCUCGACAGCGAUUCCAAAUUCUGGAGGCUUUCCAUGCGAAGAUCGGUCAGAGUUGAAGGAAGCAUUACGCCCUCUUUAUCUGGAAAGGAAACCAUGUCUGCAGCAGGGCAUGUACCAGCAAUUUUGAUUUUCGUAAGACAGUUGAGUUUGUCCAGGCCCCACACUGACAUCGGCUUCUUCAGGUUUAUACAGUUACGGAGCUUGAGUGAAGUUAUGUUGGGUGGCAAACUACCAGGUGGAAUGGAUUCGAGAGCCAUGCAGUCAGAUAAACUCAGUUUGCGAAGGGAUGUGACGUUCUGCAUCUGCUUUGGCAGGGACCUGAGAUUCGAACAGUUGGAUAUGUGGAGAAUUUUAAGAUUGGGGAUUGACAACCCACUUUCCAGGAAGGAUUCCAAAGCAAGACAAUCUUUUAUACACAAAUAUUCAAGAAGAGAUGCGCUAUUCCAAUUGUCAUCAGGAAGAAACUGUAGAUUGUUACAGUUUACUAUACUCAACCUCUUGAGUGUCAAGGGCAACUUGCCAUUUGGGACGGAUUUCAGAGAAGGGCAUCCUACAAUCUGCAACUCUUCAAGAAGGCAAAAGGGGUUGUUGCAGUCUUUCAUCCUAAACGUAUCAGGCAAUGACUCCAGAGCCUCACAGUCAUGGAUUGUAAGGCACUUUAGUGUAUAGGGCAGCCCCAUCUCUGGAAAGCAAACAAAUUUUUGGCAGCCUUCAAUCCUGAGAUCUUUAAGAGAUGAGAAGCGGCAUAGCCCUUGCUUCUCUCCGACCAAGGAUACAAGCUCGGGACAAUUCUUUAGUACUAAACUCUUUAGCCGAGGCAGGUUUUCUGAUUCUGAUCCAUUCCACCAGAAACAGGUAAGUUCAUUGCAACCUUCAAUCUCUAGAACUUCAAGUUUCACCAAGGCCUUUGUAAGCUCUUCAGUUAAGCAGGCAAGGCCGGAAAUUCUCUCCAAUUUCAAUUUGGUGAUGGAGCUGUGAUUAACCAUACUUUUAAGGAUUGCGUCACUGCUGUCUGCAACAUUCAAUUCACCUAAGCAUGGGAAGCUUAAAGGUGAAUUUGUUAACACUGGGCACAUUUGAACAUCUAGUUUUACCAGAGAACAAAGGUUUCUAGGUAAGUUUCCAGUCAACUUAGGACAGUUGUGCAGUAUAAGCUCACGAAGAAGAGGGAAAAGUUCAACAUUACCAACAGAUGAAAUCCAUUUCUUCCAUUCUUUCAUGUUCUCGAACCUCAAGAACUCCAAAGAUGGAAAAGCCUUAACAAAAGGAAAACCCUCCCCGUAAAAUUCAGGGUCCAAACUUGUCACCGCAUGCAUGCCCUUUAUAUUCAACUUUCUGAGCAAUGGUAGUCGCCCGAGUGAUGGCAAUGAUGUGCAAUUUAUACAAUCAGAGAGGUCUAGAUGCUCUAUUUUAGCAAAAGAAGGAUUCCCAACCCAAUAAGGGAACUCUCCAGCUCCAUAAUUUGAAAUAGAAAGCCGCUGCAGAUCUUUUGGAGGGCACAGUGACUCAAGGAUCUGCAAUUGGUUGGGUCCGUUUCUAGAGAGAUUUAAAUCAUUGCUCCAUUCCAGGGCUAACUCCUUCAAAUCAAGCUUGUGCUUUAGAUUGGCAACCCUUGCAUCUUGAAUAUCCACCACGUUCUGCAGCCUUUGAAUGGAAAGCUGACCUUGAAGAGACAAAUUCUUUAAGUCUCUUAAUGUCAGCCCACCAGCUUUCCCGAUGAUAAAUUUGGGCAGUACCCGGAGACUAUUCAAAUUCCCUAGUCCUGAUGGCAUCUCUUGUAGCUUGGGAGUAUCACUGAUGUCAAGACGAUGCAAUUUAAUCAAUCUACUGGUUCCAACAGGCAAAGCAGUAAGUUCUCUGCAGUGGUUUAGUAUUAAUAUUUGUAAGUGGUGAAGAUAACCAACUGACUCAGGGAGCAAUCUUAUUGCACUUCUAGACAAAUUAAGGUACCGCAGAUGCUUCAGAUAACCGAUCGAAUUCAAUAGGUCUCCAAUGAAAUAGCCACUCAAGGAUAACACUCUUAAGCGUUUUAGUUUUGGCAGCAAUUGGUGUGAUACCUUACUACUUAGAUAGCAAUAUUCUCUCUGAUGUAAUAAAGGCAAUGCUAGGAAUGACCUUACAUCCUUUCUUUUGCUAAAGAUUUCAAACCUCUGUGAGACAUCGUAUUGAUGACGAAUGAAUGAGACAUGGCGAGCCUUUUCAAAAGAAUGUUGGCCAUCAUCAAUCUGCACUUCAUGCUCCAUGUUAAAACACAAGUCCCCGGCAACAGAUUGGGCAAGAUCAAUAAUGAGGUCAUGCAUUAGGAACAGCGAUUUGUUAUUAUUUGACUGUUGAAAAAAGGACCUUGAUAGCAGAUCAGAAAAGUACUCGCGGCCUAUGUCUUCCGGUUGCUUAUCCCCUUUUUGUUGCACAAAACCCGCUGCUAUCCAUAAAAGAACCAAUUCAUCUCUAUCGAAUUCGUGGUCCUUUGGAAACAGAGAGCAAUAAGCAAAACAUGGCUUCAAAUGAGAAGGGAGGUGAUGGUAACUCAAUCUUAAAGCAGAAAAAAUGCCUCCUUUCUCUUCUGUUAAAUCCCACAUCUUGCUCUUGGAUACAGCUUCCCACUCUUCGUAGGUCACCUUGUUGCGCAGGAGGCCUGCCAAGGUUUUUACUGCCAAAGUCAAUCCCUUGCAUUUCUUCACUAUUUCUUCGCCAAUAUCUUUCAGAUGUGUAUGCCCGUCAAAGUUUUCUCUUCCCAGAGCAUGGCGGGCUAAAACAGACAAACAAUCAUCAUAUGCCAACUCUUUUAACUGAUAAGCAGGCAGGGUACCUGUCAUUUUAGCAACGUUUUGAUUGCGAGUCGUGAUGAUGAUUUUGCUUCCCGACUUGGCAAAUUCCAAAGGGCGGAUAAGGCUAGUCCAAUCAACGUAGUUAUCAUGCCAAACAUCAUCCAAGACAAGUAAAAUUUUCUUCUCAGAUAGCUCCUCUUUCAGCUUGAUAUGAAGCAAGUUCAGGUCGUUGGUAUCAGGAACUCCACCAUUAACAGACUGUGAAACGGCUUUCAUGACCUUUAUGACGUCGAAAUCUUCUGAAACGUAGAUCCAUGCUUUUGAGUCGAAAAACCCUGCUACUUUAUCAUCAUUGUAAACCAGCUGAGCAAGAGUCGUCUUGCCAAUUCCUCCCAUUCCAACAAUGGGAAUCACUGGCACUUCAGCAUCACUUGUUGUCUCCACCAGCAGCCGCUCAACUAUGGCUUCCGUAUCUUUCUCCCUACCGUAAACAUUGACUUCAUUGACUAAACACGUUGUGGGCAAUCUUUGAUCCCUUGCCUUGUAGGCCCUUCCCUCAACAUUCUCUCUUAAUUCGAGGUCGCUCUUUUGUGUCGCAAUCUCCUGCAGUCUAGCAUCGAUACCCUUUAUCUUUGACCUCAUCUUGACCCUAAACGUGCCAGCACCCCAUUUAAAACAACUUAAACUAGGAGGGUUGUGCCAGCAUCUUACCGUUCUAAUGCUGGUACGAGGUUGUGCUGUCAACCUGCGUCGCAAAGCUUCGUAAGCAAACUCGUCUAACACGUCCUCAACGUCGUAAGCCGAGUCUCUUAGCUCGGUCAACCAGAUUUUAACUGUCCUAUCUGUCACUUGCUUCUCUCCUGCAUCAGUGAGAACUGCAUUGAUAAUCAGCAGCUUUUUCUCCAACUUUUUGAGGUCAACAUAAAGUUUCUCCUUCUGGGCAAAAUAUAUCAGGUCAGAAGCGUUAAACUUGUCAAGCAGCGCCUCAAACAUGGAAGUGAAAAAAGCUUCUCCGAUUGCAGCUAAUGCUUCCAUCAGGGAUCAUAAAUAUUUUGCAGAAACAAAUUAAAGGGGUUUAAGAUUGUAGUUAAUAGAAAUGGAACGAAGAGAGGGAAUCCUCAGAAGCAGAACAAGACCAGAGAUUAGGAUCAAAGUCAAGCACUGAGUUUUCUGUGCUAGUUGUUCUCUUUGCAUUUACCGAAACCAACUUCUCUUCCUUCCUGAAUCCUGGAAACUUUCCCUGUCUGGGAUUUGGGAGGUCCCACAGGGAAAUUGGCAGGGGUAUUUCCUGAUUGACUAAGUUUAAGGUCUUUGUUGAUUGAGGUUAACAUCAGUACACUUCUCCCUGACCCCAAGCUUACACUAGUCGGCUGUACUAAAAAACAAAGAGGCAAAGGCCGACAAAAACAAAAGCAGAACUUCCCCCUUUGGACUAAUUUUUUUCCAUCUCUUCUUUUCUUCUGGUUUGUGGAAGAAGAGCGCUUCUGGACUUUAGCAGGCGCAAAUUUUCCAUGGCUGUUUCCUGGUAAAAAAUUACGUAGAGCACAGAAAUUAAUAGGGGAAAAAUCAAAGAAGCCACAUUCCAUCUUCUUAUACAAGGCAAAUACUAUACGUUACAGCAGAGAGAAAAAGCAACUGAUACUAGAGAAAUUUUGGGUCAAUCUGGAGUCUGGAAAAAGAAAACCUUUUACUCUCCAGUCUUCCACCUGUUAAACUUUGUUUUCCUGAUCACCAUGCAAGUUUUAUUGGCACACUGUUUUCUUUUUUUUUUUUUAAACCAAUUUGCAUUCCUUUGUUUCUUGGAACAUUGAAUCAAGCUAAGAAUUGAAGUCUGUAGAAUCAAAUUGUUUCAAGAUUUGAAUGUUUAUUAGCAAAGUACUAAGUAUCUUUUGCAAGGAAACGUGAAAGAAAAGCAAAAAACGAGCAAGACAACCUUGGAGUUUGGGUGGUUGGUAAUCGUACUAAUCACAAAGAUGUUCUGUUUUUCUCUGGCCAUUAAUCAGAAUCCAUAACGAAAUUCCGUUGGAAGUUUUGCCUGGUCAAAAUUGGAGGCCUAGCCUUAGCAAUGGGGACCAUGGGGUAAAUAUCAAAUUCAGUCAUUACCAGGAAAUGACAUAGUUUUUAAAAAUGGUAGUGCUCAAUGAUGCAUUAGCUUCUUUUGGAAUAAAAAUAAAAAUAUCCUCUUGCUGCUGUGUUUUGUCUUAAAUAUAUAUUUUUUAGAGUUUUUUUUUUAAAUGGAUCUCAUGCAUAAGGUGUUUUUGACAAUAAAUCUUUUUAUAAUUUUAACUAUUUUUAAUCAAGAGAAUUAAAAUUUGAACAAAAUUACCCUUAAUGAAACUGACCAAUUUAUUUGACUCUACGUCUCAACUCGAAACCUAUUAACAAGUAAGUAUGUUUAGGUCUGCGCCUCAAACCAACUCAUAUUCUUUGAGCUUUUCUCGCCAGACUAUUCAUCUCUAGAGUAUUCCUUAUCAGAAAGCAAAUGCUUAAGUAUUUUGAACAUGUUAGAGUAAUUUUUGAUACACGAAGAAAACGUUUGAGCGUUUUGAAUAUUUUUAAUUAUUUUGAGUGAUUUUUGAUAUAUGAAGAAAAACUUUUGAAUAUUUUAAACAUUCUUUAUCAAGUAGGCAUAUUCGUUAAUUAUGUUAUUAAAUGGAAUAUGGUGUAUCGUCUGAAGUUAUUGAUCUUGUUAAAUGGAAUUCAGUAGUUUUUGUGAUUUUUGGGCAUUGCGUGACUGACUUUGAGCAUUACGUGACUAGUUUUUAAGUAUUGUGUGACUGGUUAAUAUGACAUUGCGUGAUUAGUUGAUAAGCAUUAUGUGACUUAUUAGUAAGGUAUUACGUUACUUGUUAGUAAGACUUUGCUUGACUUGUUAGUAAAGUAUUGUGUGACUUAGGUAUUAUUUAAAAAUUAAUCACACAAUAUCUAAAAACCAGUUACGUAAUGUCUAAAAACUAGUCUAGUCACGUAAUAUCUAAAAAUCAGUCUCUCGCAAUACUUAAAAAUCAGUCCAAUUAAUUUCAACUUCUCAACUUUGGGGUUUUAUGAAUAAAUUAAUAAACUAAAAACUUAAAACACAUACUUUUUUUUUGCUAAGCCAUGAAAUUAUGCAUUUCAUAAAAGAUAAGUUACAAAACUCUAUAACCCUCCAAAGCAAGACAAAAUAUAUUCCUAUCGGGAAAGCCUUGCUCACUCUCUUAUAAAAAAACAAAAUAUACCUUAUUUACAAAAUAUUCUCUGAAUAAUUUCAAUUCAAAAUUUUAUUAAAAAGAUAAAAAUCCCUAACAAACAUUCUUAACAAUCAUCUCAAUUUCAAACACAACAAAAUCGUCAAAAAAAUAAAAUAAAAUAAAAAAGAGCUUAAUGUCAUCUUUGCUGUUUGGAUAGCAAGAUAGACAGUAUUUGAUCAGAGAGAAAAAUCGAGAUUUUAUUUUGAAAUUUUUGUUUGGAUGGCGGGAUAUAGAAAAUUGAAACUAUUUUAAUUUGUAUGAAAUUGUUUAAAAAAUAUUAUUAUCAAGUCAUGUCAAAAAUUGAUUAAAAAUAAUUAAAAUUAUAAAAAAUAAUAUUUUUGAAUUGAACUUACGAGAAAUGUUAUUUUUCAUAAUUUCUUCUAUUUUUUAUUAUAUUACACGAAUCAAACGACAAGAAAUUAAUUUAAUCAUUACUAUAAUUAAUUUGAUUAUUACGGUACGUUGCUUGAUACCAUGAGUAAUUGUUUCAAGUCAUGGGGUAUACUUAUUUGACAAGAUCUAUAAACUAAAUUUAUUAACAAGAUAAAUAGAAUGAAUGCAUGAUCUUUCCUAGAAGCUUGCAUUCCCCGUUUUUGGUGAGGCAUAAGGGAAGAAGCCUUGUUUCUUCUCUGGUGUGUGUGUGUGUAUAUAUAUAUAUAUCAGUGACAGCCUGUUUCAACCAAGAACCCUCCCUCCUUCCCUUUCUCUUUCACUCUACUCAAAAGAAUUCUAGUGUAGGUGUUCCUUUGCAGGCACUACUUAAUUCCCCAGAGCCGCUUAAGUUUGCUUCCCAACCGGCAGCCUCCAGAAAUGGGAGGAGAAUUUUUGCUUAAGAUCUGGGUCAACGCUCUCAAGGACUUUCAUUACGAUAUGGAGGAUUUGCUUGAUGAGUACUCCAUCGAAACUCGACAGUGUAAAUGGAGCACAGAAUGUCAAGAAAGCACUGCCGAGGUACGGAAACUUGUUUCUUGCUGUUAUAUUGAACUCGAUCCAAGCCUUGUUAGGGUAAUUAAACCAGUUUCACUGUGAACGAGUUUUGGCUAAUGAUGUGUAUGAAUUGGAUUUGCUUCAAGAGAGAGUAGAAGAAAUUGUUAGAAUGAAAUCUUUCAUAGUCCUAGGUGAUAUUUGUAAUGAGAACUAUAAGAAUUGAAUUCGCUUCCAUGGUCGUGGUUCCUUCGAAGUAAGUUAUUUGGGAAGUAAAACCACUGUCAUGACCCUAAGAUGUGUGUCCAUGAUUGAAAGUUCUGGGUUACCAUUCGAAAGAAAUGGGUAACAUCAAUCUUUGGGGAGAAGAAAAUUUGAUGAUCAGCUGUUUAUGAAAGUGAUUUGCAAAGAAAUAGUGAAAGGGUACGAGUGUUUACCAAUUGGUUACAAUGCCUCUGACCGGUUUUGCAGCCAAUGGCAAACACCAUCUUUCCACCAUAUUUUCCUUGACAAAAUGCCAACUGCAUACUUUCAUAUUCGGAUGCUCAUCAAAAUUUCUUCUCCCUGAGAUAAGAUGUCAUUAAUUUCUUUCGAUUAUGAUGUAAUUAUAUGACAGUAAUUUUACUUCCUGAACAGCCUAGUACUUCAGAAGAAAUACUGCAAAGAGCCAUUGGAUUCUCAUAGAUAGUUUUCAUUCCAAAUAUCAUCUAGAACUAUGAAAAUUUCCUUUCAAUCUCACUUGUAAUGAAUUCAGCUUAUUGGCAUUACAAGGCUUGGAACUCACCCAUGGUAACAGUACUGUUUUCAUGUCCCUAACAACAUCAACUUCUUCAGAAACAAAAAUCAAGCUUUCAAUUCAAAGAAAUGCUUAACUGUUAACAUUAUUGUUGUAUAUUUAGCAAGGGUUGUCUUCCCCACUCCUACCAUAUUAUCUUGAUAUCGUCGGAUACUUGAUGAUGACUCGAGGACUACUGGCUUCAUCUCUGAACUUCUGGCUUUCAAUUCAAGGGUUUUUUGCUCCUGAGAUGUAUCUCUAAACAAUGGCUUCAUCUGUACUUGUCUUUGAUUCAAUAAAAUUCUUUUUUGCUCUCUUUUUUUUCCGUCCAUUGUGAAAUGGGGAUUUGCAUCCUAUUGUUGUUAAGCACGCAGAUGCAUGCACUUAUCAUCAUAUCAAAUGCGUAGAUGUUAUAUUUGCUGUUAAAUUAAACAAAAACAGUAAAAGUAGGGAUUGUCAUGAAACAUUACAAGGAAACUUGAGAUGACAACAUUUAAUUUCUCCGGGACAAUGCAUCAAUCAAAAUGAUGUUGUGAUUGAAAUUAGCUGUACAAUUUAACAAACAGCCCUUUAAGCUAUGUCUAGAGCAUUCCUCUAACACAAGAACAAAGGUUUCAUAUCUCCCAGAUGGUUCAAAAAACAGUAGAAAGAACCAAGACUUUUGCACAUUUAUAAAGAAUUAUGGGAUUAAUCCCUCUGAUCACAAAUUAGCCAAAUUUGGAUAAACAAAAGAAUAAUGCUUUAACUGGCCUGGUAUCAGGUAGGUUACUGCUCAGGCAUAAGCACAUGUCAAACUGCUGUUGCAUAUCCAGCUUCCGAAUGUAUUUAAAUUUUGUCGUCCUGUUACUGUUUCAGGCACAUAGCUGUAGAACGUUUUUUCUCUUUCUCCUUGAACUUGUAUACAUUUACACAUAGGCAUUGGAGUGUACUAACAUGUGUCUGGUUUAUAGAACAGAAGAGACCCAGAUCAAGAAACUGGUUUGCCAAAAGAUUUUAAACGAGAAAGAUAAUUAUGACGAAGAACUGAUCAAGAAAAUGUGUUCAAUUCAAUGCUUGAUUUCUUCUUUCGUCUGUCCUACUGCCCUUGGAAUUUGUAAACGUUUGUGCCCACUUUCCAUUUUGAAUGGUUUUAGCUCGUGAUUUUGUUUAAAGCAGGCUACAAUAUGCUGUGUCAGGAUCGACACAACUUGUAAAGUAUCGCUUUGAUUCAUUGAAUCUCAUGAUUUUGCUAUACUUCACAAGAUGAAAAUAAUGUGAACACUUAAAUAUAUGAUCAUACUCUCAUAUGUAGUCGAUACGAAUGCAUCCCUCUGAAACCGUGACAUCCUGCAAUGCCAGGUUUAAGGCAAAUUUUAUGUCGGUUCUGCAAGCUGCUCACUCACUACAGCAGGAAAACUAUUGAAGCCUGAGCAUGAUACACAAUGAGUGUGCAACUAGCUGUAACUGUCGUUUUAGGAAUACAAGUAUCGACGAAAAAGAGAUGACGAUUUCUAAUUGUCGGGGAAAAGAAGCCAGGGAGGGCGAUCCGAUCAAGCAGUGUCGCUGAUCAGUAACGCUGAUAGAGGUGUAAACUGCACUGGGCUUAGUAAAAACCCGUACAAGUAAAAACCCGUACGCUUACUUAAACGCUGCGUUUUGACAUUGUCGUUAUUAUCUCGCAGUUUUUCUUUUUCUUCUUUUUAACACAAUCCCUCUCUUUUCUCUCUGCCUCACCGUUUACCGCCUUAGCGAGGGAAAAACAUGGGACCCAGCCCGUCGGCCGGUUCGUCGGCGAUGAGGAAGAGAAGCGGCGUGAGCGGUGGAACAAGAAUGGAGAGGCUGGACCACGAUAUCCUGUGUAUCAUCUUCUCCUUCCUGAACGUCUUCGACCUCGCUCGCUGCACCGCCGUCUGCAAAUCCUGGUACUCUUUCUCAAAUUUUCUUUUUUCUCCAGGAAUUAUUUUUUAUUUUUUUAUUUUUUUUAUAAUUAGGGAGUGCAGUUGUUAAAAAAUCCGAGUUAUUGCAAGCGUUGUAUUUCAAGCUGCGGCGAGAUUCCAUGGGCAAUAUUUCUACUGAGUCUAAUUCUUCACGGCAGUCAUGGCAAUUAGGCCUAGAAGAAGCAGCCAUGAAGUAUCAUAGCUUAUCUUUACGACGAGGUCGUAUCGAUAUUCAUCAAUGGAAAGCUCAUUUUGUCCGGUAAAGCUUUGGUGCUCUUCUUGUUGAAAUGCAGGGCGUUUGAAACUCCAAUUUACUCAUACAUUUUCGAUUUUUGUUACAAAAGAUGCUGGAAACCAAGGCCUCAGACAUUUCUAACCUUGUUUUUUGUUAGGGUUGAUCAGUGCCGGAUGAAGAUGGGCUUACUUCUCACUGGUGUUGGUGACAAGGUAUGGUUAUGCCGCAUAAACCUGUUAUGGCAAUUUUAGGUCUUCCUUUCAAUUUAAUCAUGCCUGCUUCCCCGGUUUAUGCAUCAAAAGAGAAGGCAUUGGUCACAGCAGUUUCAUAUGUUUGCAUGUAUAAGCCAAUCUUAUGGUAUUCGUUUCAGUCAUAUUUGAAAACAACCAGGAACAAAUUGUUCCCCAUGCUUGUCAUUAGGCAAAUACACAUUGAGGGUUGUAGUCUGUAUGAUAUUUAUAGUUAGAAUAUGGUUGUAUUGGACAUAUAGGAAGAGUAUGGUUCUCAAAAUGGCAAAUUUUUUUUUACUUUCGUUCCUACUUGGUGAACCUGGUUUGAGAGAUUUGUUUAAACGCAUUCCAAUUCUUUACCAUUUGCUUGAGGUCAAUAAAUGUCAAUUGCAUGUCCAAAUUAUUCAUGAAUCGGUAUCUGAAGUACAAAGAUAAUAUUGAUGGCUUUAUUUUUGUACUAAACUUAUCCUUCUUUUAUCUGGAAGGGUUUUUCUUUGCCCCUUCAAUCUACUAAUGUUUUUCAUGGAAACUAUACCAGGUUAUGCGUCUUUGGUCAUUGAGCAGCUACAAUUGUGAGGGAGAAUAUUACAUCCCUGAUAGUGCCCCUGUAGUUGACUUUGAUUUCGACAAGACCAAGGUGAUUUCAUCCUCCUCUUGUCAUUAGCUGGUUAAUCACUCCCCCACUUUCUUAUUCUCCUCCUUCUCUCUUCCCUGACCUCUAUUUUUUCCCCAACCAUGUCUACCAGAUUAGUUCACAAGUGGCCUUAAACAUAAAAUGCUCUUAUUAAGAAUGUAAUCAUUGUGUUUAUGUGGAAAUUUUUCAGAUGAUUUGAUCAAAUGAGUUCUUCUGAAUAAUUGCUGUUCUUUUUCUUCCAGAUUGUUGGUUUGCUUGGUACAUAUGUAGGCAUAUGAAGACGCAAUGGGAAAAGAAGUAUAUUUCCCUCACGUGAAGGCACAUUCUCAAAAGGUUUAUGCAUGCCGUAGGAAUGUUGAUUGACAGAAUUGUCUGGCGAGAAUAUUCAUGUCUGCAAUGGUGGUAAAUUUAUCUAGAAAAGAAAACAAUUUCAAACUUUGCUCCUAAACCACAUUAAUUAGUUCGGUAUCAAGGAAUGUCAAUCAGUUAUCGGCUUUGCUAAAUAUUAUAUUCUGGAGUUAUCCUAGGUAGUAGUAUAUUCUUCUAAUUAAAGAGAAGUGUGAGUUGCCUAUUAUAUAUGACAUGACAUUGUAAAAUUUUUUUGGUUAAUGGGAAAUGUCAUGCUCUUUUUUUCUAAAGGACUUUCAUUUGUUAAAUGCAACUAAACAGCUUUCUUCAACAGGUACACUGAUCCAGAGGCUGUCAUUGGAUGUGAGGAUGGAACUGUUCGGGCAUUCGACAUGUAUAGUAGGACAUGUUCUCGAAUUAUUAAGUAUGCGCUGCACUUGCUGAAUGUUAUAUGUUUCACUCUUAUCUUCCAAUAAUGAAAUUUCUGUAGGACAUUGUGGAUCAUUAUUUUACUUGAUCUCUGCUAUCUCUUUCAUAUAGCGCGAAGAUGUUUCUUGCUCAUCACUCUCGAGCGAUACUUUCUGUUAAGCAAAGUAGUUAAAUACCCCACUGCCCGUUAAGAAAUUUUGAUUUGAACUUGGGCCUUGAUCUUCGUUACUAAAUUAUCUUGGUCAUUAAACUCAUUUUGCAGAAGUGUCUGUAAAGACCAUUAUCAUAUUGAGCACCCUUUGUCUUACACAAGUUUUUGAGAAUAAUGCUUGCAUGAAUCUUUUCUUGGACUUUGAACAGUGCCCCAAAUUAUGGAAAUUAAAUGUUCAGUUAUGUAAAUUAAUACAUGAAAUGGAUUUUGACUCAUAGAUGCACUUAAGUAAACACUUGGCUGUUUAGUGGAAAGAAGGUUGAUCAUAUUCUGGUGAUUUCUUAUACCCAUAUUGGAAGGACUCAGUGUAAUGCUGCUUAUUAAUAUCCUCAUUGCAGGAUGCAUGCUGGGCCUGUAACAUGCUUAUCUCUGAGUGAUGACCAUUUGAUUCUCAGUGGAAGCUCUCUUGGUAGUGUCUCAAUAUCCAGCCUCUCUUCCUAUCAGCGGGUGGCUACACUAAGGUCAACCAAUUCGGGAGGUUGUAUGAUUAAACACUUAUGAACAUCACUGCAUUUAAUGCCACUCUAGUUUCUUUUAGGUAUUUUGCAUCUGAAACAUGAAUCUAAUUUCUUCUUAUUCUGACAGGCAUAAGGACCCUGUGUUGAAGUGGGAGAACUGGUCUCAGCCUCAGGCGUUUGAAGCUGCAAAUAAAAGUUUCCCUCAUCUUCAGGAGCUUGUGACGUGGAAUUGUCCGAAGUUGGUAGAGGCUUUACCCAACUCCCUUACUUCCCUUGUAAAGCUUUCCAUUUGUGAAUGUCCACAGCUUGCAGCCUCUUUUCUGAGUCUCCCAUCUCUUUGUGAAUUGAAUUUAGAACAAUGUAAUGAGCAGUUUCUUGCAAGGUUCAUAAACCUCACUGCUCUCGCUAGGUUGAAAAUUGAGAACAUUUCAAAUCUUUCUUACUUACCCAAAGACUUCACAUGCUUGGUCUCACUUGAACGUCUUGAAGUUGAAGAUUGCGGUCAACUGACAUCCCUGUUGCAAGAGGGUGCCAGAUUAGAAAACCUUUCUUGUUUGAAGCGUUUAGCAAUCAUGAAGUGUCCUCAACUGUCGUGGUUGAUAGAUGACGAAGAUCAGCUACCCUCCAGCCUAGAGUAUCUAGAAAUAGAAGAUUGCACCGAACUGGAGAAGUUUCCAAAUGGGCUAGAAAAGCUUUGAUCAUUAAAAGAUUUGAGUGUUAAAUGGUGCCCCAAACUGAGGUCUUUCUCAAAUAGGGAUUUGCCUUCUAUGCUAAAAAACCUGGCAAUCUUGGGAUGUGAAUCUUUGGAGUCUUUUCCUAAGGGACUGGUGCAUUAUGAUAACAGCAGAAUCACUACAUGUCAUCAUGAAGACUUGGAGAUUCUUGGAUGUCCAUCCCUCUGUUUGUUUCCACCAGGUGAGUUACCAGCUGCCCUUACGCAACUUGAGAUUUGGGAUUGCAAACUGUUGGAGUGUAUUCCAGAGAGAUUGCUUCAGAACAGUAGGUCACUUGAAUUCAUUCGUAUUGGAAACUGCAAAAAACUGAAAGCCUUUCCUCAGUGUAUGUACAGCUUUGAAGAUCUAACUGAGUUGCAUGUAAAUCAAUGCCCUUCCUUGCAGUCUUUUCCAGAAAGUGGAUUGCCCAUCCGUACCCUCAGAACAGUCUUAAUCUCCAAUUGUGUGAAUCUCAAGUCCUUACCCAAUAAGAUGCAUGACCUCACAUCUCUGCAAUAUCUCACAAUAUUUGGUUGUCCAAGUGUAAAAUAUUUUCCAGAAGGUGGUUUUCCACCAAACGUGUUAUCACUUUCUAUUUGGGGUUGCAAGCAACUCAAGCAACCCUUUGCAGAGUGGUGCUUAAACAAGCUUACAUCUCUUGAAGACUUAAAUGUUGGUGAUUUUGAUUUAGAUAUGACUCCCUUCCCAGAAGACUCUACAAUUCCAUGAACUCUCGUCCACCUUCGAGUCCAGAGUCUACCUAAUCUGAGAUUUCUAUCCAAGGGGCUCCACAACCUCAUUUUUCUUGAAGUAUUAGAUGUUUGGGAUUGCCCUAAGCUCCAGUUCUUGCCAAAGGAUGGCCUGCCUAUCAUGCUUGGUGUACUUCAUAUCAGAAAUUGCCCUCUUUUAGAAAAUCAAUGCUUAGAUGAGAAAGGUGCAUUUUGGCCAAUUAUUUCUCACCUUCCUCUUGUGAGGAUAGAUUAUGUUGAU
rnacentral:lncRNA from 1 species